UUUUGGACAAUGGGCGAAAGCCUGAUCCAGCCAUGCCGCGUGAGUGAAGAAGGCCUUCGGGUUGUAAAGCUCUUUUAGUCGGAAAGAAAGAGUUGCAAUGAAUAAUUGUGAUUUAUGACGGUACCGACAGAAAAAGCACCGGCUAACUACGUGCCAGCAGCCGCGGUAAUACGAAGGGUGCGAGCGUUAAUCGGAAUUACUGGGCGUAAAGGGUGCGCAGGCGGUCUUGCAAGUCAGAUGUUAAAGCCCCGGGCUUAACCUGGGAAGUGCGUUUGAAACUACAAGGCUAUAGUGCAGCAGAGGGGUGGUGAAUUCCAUGUGUAGCAGUGAAAUGCGUAGAGAUGUGGGAGAACACCGAUGUCGAAGGCAGCUCCCUGGGUUGACACUGACGCUCAUGCACGAAAGCGU
rnacentral:rRNA from 1 species